rnacentral:rRNA from 1 species
AAAAGUGGCCAUGGCGCCCUGAACACGCCCGAUCCCGUCUGAGCUCGGAAGCUGAGCAGGGUCAGGCCCGGUUAGUACUUGGAUAGGAGACCACACCUAGGAAGACCAGGUGCUGUAGGCG